AGAGGCAGCUGUAGCAGUUGGGCUUUGUGGCCAGGACACUUUGAGUCAUGUAGAGGUCUAAUGGGAUGGGCAGGAAUGACAGCUGAGCUUCAGCCUUUACUCACUGGGCAUUCAUGCUGUACACACCUUUCCCUUCACCUCCUUGCAUAAGAUGGUUUAUUUUAAUUUUCCCCUUACUGUGUCCUUCUGUUUUUAAGCACUCCUGGAAAGCCAGCAGUUCCUUGCUCCCAUAAGCUCCCUCCACCUCCCUUCAUCGCCUGACUGCCGUUCAGUAUAAGCAUGGUCUGAAUACUCUGCUGAACUGGGACCUUGCUGUGGUGGAGAUGAGGGGUUACUCCAUGGAGCUGGGUGACUCCAUGGAGCUGAAGGAGUUGUCUCGUGAGAAAGGCUCUGGUCUGAGGUACAGCAGGGGGAAGAGCAAACAGUGAAGAACUUUACUGGUUGAAACCUGUGGGCAUCUGUGUCAGCUCCUCCUUCACCAGCACUUCUGCUAUAACCCAAAGAAAAACAGCAGCAGCGGAGAGGCGUAGCAGCAAGUGUGUCAGUUUGGCACAGAAGGUACUUUCCUUGGACAUGUGACCAGAUGAUGCAGUUGUCCAGAUGAAAUUCAGAAAACAAAAAACAAUGCAUGAUAAGAAACUGAAAGAAGCCAGGAAUGUGUUGUUUUAUGAAUGCAGAACAUCAGCUAUAAAAUCACUGAGACUGACAAAUUGUUUUUAAUCAUGUAAAACCACCAUCCAAAAAUUUAAUAUGAGCUUUGGGCAGCAAAGGAUUGUUUUGUAUUUUACAGGUAGAUCUCAUCACUCAAGGAUUUCAAAGGCUCUGCAAAACCCAGGUUUAGCUCUUCCUUUUUGUAAUUACAACUCUUCUCAGUUAUGUAGUCAUUUACUGGGCAUUGUUAAAACUCUGGUCUGUACUCUCAAUUGCUCUAAGGCCUGACCUAAUCUUACGGUUCUGCAGAGUCACAGAAGCAGCAUACAUUCGUUCCCAAUUCUGUCAAAAUCAGGUUCCAAACAGGACACCAUGCCUAUGUGACAAGAAGAAGGUCAUCCCCUGCUGCCUUUUAAUUGUGAACAGGCUAAUUGUUCAGGGGUUAUUUUAGGAGACUUGGUAUUUGGGCAUAUG